rnacentral:rRNA from 1 species
UACGGGGGGGGCAAGCGUUGUUCGGAAUUACUGGGCGUAAAGGGCGCGUAGGCGGUGCUUUAAGUCAGGGGUGAAAUCCUGGAGCUCAACUCCAGAACUGCCUUUGAUACUGAGGAUCUUGAGUUCGGGAGAGGUGAGUGGAACUGCGAGUGUAGAGGUGAAAUUCGUAGAUAUUCGCAAGAACACCAGUGGCGAAGGCGGCUCACUGGCCCGAUACUGACGCUGAGGCACGAAAGCGUGGGGAGCAAACAGG